GGUAAAAGAACUGUGACUCAGGUAAUAGAAUUCUCACAAUGUUACUGCAGAAGAAUACAUUAUAGUGGUGUGCCAAUUAAACUGAACAGACUGUCCUUGACUGAAUACUCUUUUUAUAAGAGUGUGCUGGUAGCAGUGCCUCAUAGGACGGGGCCAGAAUCUGAAGGGAGUGGAGCGAAUAGUUCAACUGAGAGCUCUGGGAGCAGGUAGAGAAAACAGCUGGCACUGCUGAAUGCUAUACUGGAUCAAGAAAAUCAGGAGACCCAGAGGGGGUUCACUUUUAAGAAAAAAUUCCCAGAGCAAGAAUUGAAAAAUCUGUUUAUGGCCAAUGAUCAGGAAGCAGACCCAGUGAAAAUGCUUGCAGUGAGAAACUAGCAGCAACUGGAACAUGAACAAAAGCUGAUAGAUCUUUGAUGGCAGAAAAAGCAAAAGAGAGCUGAUAUGGAAAGAGAAGUUAGAGAAAGGAUUGCUAAUAUGGAACAAGAAGCUGCUGAAAGAGAGAGAGCUGUCCAUCUAAGGCAUAUGGAAUGGCAAGCUGAUGAGGAGAAGGCUCAUCCAGAUGCAACAGGAAUCUGCCAGAUUUCAGCCCCAAGUCUUGGAACAGCAGAAAAAGCUGCCACAGCCUGGAGAUCCAUCUCCUCCUGACAACAAGAACUGGUCCCAUUUACAAAGAUACUGAAGACAUGGAGGAAGUUCUAUCUACCUUUGAGCAUCUAUGUGAAAUUCACUGUAUCCCAGAGCUGCAGCGCAUGCUUGUCUUGCUAACCAGAUUGACUGACUGGGAAAGCUAGGGAAAUGUUCAAUGAAAUGGGUAUGGAUGAAGCUUUGGCUUAUGUAAAAUAUAAAGAUACUGUGGGAAAGAUUUGGAUAAUUUUGAACAAUUAAUGCAAUUAAUUACACUUGAGCAGAUGUCAAAUUUGGUGCCAGAAGAGGUCCGGGUUGCUAUAUGUGAUAGAAAGCCCAGUUCUGUUUUUCAUGUUGCUGAAAUUGCAGAUUUGAAGUCAUGAAAGAAAUAAGCCCUUGGGAAAGAAUAAUCACUAUUCUCCCAAUCUAAAAAAAGAAAAGAGUUUAAAAGUGGGACCAGCCACGCUUCUGUUAGAAAAGCUCAUGGGAGCCCAGAACAGAAAAACUCAUACUCUAAGGGAAGACAAGUGGUAUGUUAUUUGUGUGGUACAUCGGGACACAUCAAACCAGUGUGUCCAAAUGUAAAAAAUAAACUAACAAACCUGGUAAAUGCUAAUCCAAUUAUUCUAAACAUACAAAUAGAGGCCAGCACUGAUGCCUUGUGUGCAAAUGUUGUUACAGUUCUCUCUUAAGGGCUUGACAUUAAAACUCAUAUUAAAGCUAAAAAUGGGAACAAUAAUACAGAGUUUAUUAGCAGUGCAGAAGUUAAUGGAAUAAGGUGUAUGCAUGGAGGGACACUGCAGUAGAUAUUACUUUGGUUAAAGCAAAUCUUUUCAGGGAGGAAGCUUAUUUGCCAGGUGAAAGUGUAACUGCUGUAGCCUUAUCUGAAUAUUUUGUAAGAGUGCCUUUGGCUAAAAUCCACCUUCAAUGGAAGGGAUUUGAUGGAACCAUGACUGUGGAAGAGAAAAAUAUAAUUCCUUCAAAUGUUUUAAUAGGGAAUGAUUUUAAAGCUUUGUGCAGUCAAUUUAAUAUCAUAAACCGGUCACAUUAAGAUAAACAUAUUUGGAGUUUUAAAAAUUACUUCCAUUGAUUCUUUAUCAAAAAUGAAUAACUCUUAAGGAAUGACACACAAUUCAUCAU